UGAAGCGGCAAAAGCUCAAAUUUGAAAUCUGGUACCUUUGGUGCCCGAGUUGUAAUUUGGAGAGUACCACUUUGGGACUGUACUUUGCCUAUGUUCCUUGGAACAGGACGUCAUGGAGGGUGAGAAUCCCGUGUGGCGAGGGUGUCAGUUCUUUGUAAAGGGUGCUCGAAGAGUCGAGUUGUUUGGGAAUGCAGCUCUAAGUGGGUGGUAAAUUCCAUCUAAAGCUAAAUACAGGCGAGAGACCGAUAGCGAACAAGUACAGUGAUGGAAAGAUGAAAAGAACUUUGAAAAGAGAGUGAAAAAGUACGUGAAAUUGUUGAAAGGGAAGGGCAUUUGAUCAGACAUGGUGUUUUGCGCCCCUUGCCUCUCGUGGGCUUGGGACUCUCGCAGCUCACUGGGCCAGCAUCGGUUUUGGCGGCCGGAAAAAACCUAGGGAAUGUGGCUCUGCGCCUCGGUGUAGAGUGUUAUAGCCCUGGGGAAUACGGCCAGCCGGGACCGAGGACUGCGAUACUUGUUAUCUAGGAUGCUGGCAUAAUGGUUAUAUGCCGCCCGU
rnacentral:rRNA from 1 species